UACGUAGGGGGCAAGCGUUGUCCGGAAUUAUUGGGCGUAAAGCGCACGCAGGCGGUCUGCCAAGUUUGGAGUGACAGUUGGUGGCUCAACCACCGAAGUGCUUCGAAAACUGACAGACUUGAGGACUUCAGAGGGACACGGAAUUCCGGGUGGAGUGGUGAAAUGGCGUAGAGAUCCGGAGGAACACCGAAGGCGAAGGCAGUGUCCUGGGGAGU
rnacentral:rRNA from 1 species